CGUGUGUCUUUAGUGAAACCGGACACCUAAAAUUUAGGAUAAAUACUAUUUAGAAAUUUGCAUUUAAAAACUUAAAGAGCGAGUAAAAAGACUGAUUUUUAAUUACUUCAGAAAGAAACUAUUUUAAUCUUUGUAUGUAAUAGAGGCCGUUUUAAAUGAAAGUAAUGGAAAUUUAAAACUAGCCGAACAGACGCUACCACUUUACCAAGGUUAUUCUGCCGGAUUAAAAAAUAUAUUUCUAUUUUUUUUAAUGAAAUAGUAAAAUGAGUAUAUGUUGAUAAAAAAGUAAUACCUAAAUUACCAACGGAAAUAUAUUAUGAACAAGAAUGAUAAUUCCAGCAAAAGAAAAAAAAUUCUAGAUAUGGACACGUUUGGGGAAUUGGGCAGGUUUGGGCGCUUAUACAAAUGACACCCUUUGGCGCCAUUUUACAACUUGACAUGUUUGCAGUUCAGUGACGUCGAUGUGGACACGUUUGGGAGAAUCAGACACGUUUGAGGGGAAGGACACGUUUCUAAGUGUUACAAAUAUAUUCAAGCAUAACAAAAAAAAGUGUAGAAAACUGAUUAUUUAAGUGAAUUUUGUAAGUCCGAGGACCAUAACUCUGCACUUAAUCAUCAGACUGGAACAUAAUUAUAACUUGAUCUGUAACUUGUCAUGAUAAAACUAUAUACC
rnacentral:lncRNA from 1 species